rnacentral:rRNA from 1 species
UACGUAGGGAGCGAGCGUUGUCCGGAAUCACUGGGCGUAAAGGGUGCGUAGGCGGUUAUUUAAGUCAGAUGUGAAAUACCCGGGCUUAACCUGGGGGCUGCAUCUGAUACUGGAUGACUUGAGUACAGGAGAGGAAAGUGGAAUUCCUAGUGUAGCGGUGAAAUGCAUAGAUAUUAGGAGGAACACCAGUGGCGAAGGCGGCUUUCUGGACUGUAACUGACGCUGAGGCACGAAAGCGUGGGGAGCAAACAGG